rnacentral:rRNA from 1 species
AACGAACGCUGGCGGCAUGCCUAACACAUGCAAGUCGAACGAGACCUUCGGGUCUAGUGGCGCACGGGUGCGUAACGCGUGGGAAUCUGCCCCUCGGUUCGGAAUAACACAGAGAAAUUUGUGCUAAUACCGGAUAAUGACUUCGGUCCAAAGAUUUAUCGCCGAGGGAUGAGCCCGCGUAAAGAUUAGCUUGUUGGUAGGGGUAAUGGCCUACCAAGGCGACGAUCUUUAGCUGGUCUGAGAGGAUGAUCAGCCACACUGGGACUGAGACACGGCCCAGACUCCGUACGGGAGGCAGCAGUGGGGAAUAUUGGACAAUGGGCGAAAGCCUGAUCCAGCAAUGCCGCGUGAGUGAUGAAGGCCUUA